GGGAAGGUGGCUCAGUGGUAGAGUGCUUGCCUUGCAUGCAUGAAGUCUUGGGUUCGAUUUCUCACCACCACA
rfam:Dipodomys ordii contig_2563, whole genome shotgun sequence.